rnacentral:rRNA from 2 species
UUCCGGUUGAUCCUGCCGGACCUGACUGCUAUCGGAUUGAUACUAAGCCAUGCUAGUCUUUGUAGUAAUACAAGGCAUACGGCUCAGUAACGCGUAGUCAACCUACCCUAUGGACGGGGAUAAUCUCGGGAAACUGAGCAUAAUACCCGGCAGACCACUUAUCCUGGAAUGGUUAGUGGUUAAAAUGAUUCGUCGCCAUAGGAUGGGACUGCGGCCUAUCAGCUUGUUGGUGAGGUAAUGGCCCACCAAGGCGAUUACAGGUACGGGCUCUGAGAGGAGAGGCCCGGAGAUGGGUACUGAGACAAGGACCCAGGCCCUAUGGGGCGCAGCAGGCGAGAAAACUUUGCAAUGUGCGAAAGCACGACAAGGUUAAUCCGAGUGAUUUCUGCUAAAGGAAUCUUUUGUUAGUUCUAAAAAUACUAGUGAAUAAGGGGUGGGCAAGUUCUGGUGUCAGCCGCCGCGGUAAAACCAGCACCUCAAGUGGUCAGGAGGAUUAUUGGGCCUAAAGCAUCCGUAGCCUGUUCUAUAAGUUUGCGGUUAAAUCUAUACGCUCAACGUAUAGGCUGCCGUAAAUACUGUAGAACUAGGGAGUGGGAGAGGUAGACGGUACUCGAUAGGAAGGGGUAAAAUCCUUUGAUCUAUUGAUGACCACCUGUGGCGAAGGCGGUCUACCAGAACACGUUCGACGGUGAGGGAUGAAAGCUGGGGGAGCAAACCGGAUUAGAUACCCGGGUAGUCCCAGCUGUAAACGAUGCAGACUCGAUGAUGCAAUGGCAUAGAGCUAUUGCAGUAUCGCAGGGAAGCCGUUAAGUUUGCCGCCUGGGAAGUACGUACGCAAGUAUGAAACUUAAAGGAAUUGGCGGGGGAGCACCACAAGGGGUGAAGCCUGCGGUUCAAUUGGAGUCAACGCCGGG